GUGCAGCAGGCGCGAAUCUUCCCCCAAUGGACGAAAGUCUGAGGGAGCGACGCCGCGUGAAUGAAGAAGCCCUUCGGGGUGUAAAAUUCUUUUCUUUAGGAAAAAUUCGUGAUGGUACUAAAGGAAUAAGGGGCCGCCAAACUCGUGCCAGCAGCGGCGGUAAUACGAGUGCCCCGAGCGUUAUCCGGAAUUACUGGGCGUAAAAGCGCUAAAAAGGCGGUUUGAUAAGUCAGACGUCAAAUCUCCGAGCUCAACUCGGAGCCGGUGUCUGAAAACUGUCUAACUUGAGGACGGAAGAGGCAAAGCGGAAUGGCUGGUGUAGCAGUAAAAUGCGUUAAUAUCAGCUAGAAC
rnacentral:rRNA from 1 species